AUGACGACUAGGAACGGACAAAUCAAGAAUUUCACUUCGAAUUCCGGACCUCAACAUCCUGCUGCUCAUGGUGUUUCACGAUCAGUAUUGGAAAUGAACGGAGAAGUGGUGGAACAUGUGGAACCACAUAUUGGGAUUUUCAGGGGGGUCCGGCCGGCCGGCGCCCACCCGACUAGAGGGACUAAGAAAUUAAUCGAGUACAAAACUUAUCUUCAAGCUUUACCUCAUUUGAUCGUUUAG
rnacentral:rRNA from 1 species